AUUGAACGCUGGCGGCAUGCUUUACACAUGCAAGUCGAACGGUAACAGGCCUUCGGUUUCUGACGAGUGGCGCACGGGUGCGUAAUGCAUCGGAACGUGCCCAGAGGUUGGGUUUAACGCAUCGAAAGCUGUCCUAAUACCGCAUGUGAUCUGAUGAUGACAGCGGGGGACCUGCCAUCAAUUUUUGGCCUCGCGCCUUUGUACCGGCCGAUGUCAGAUUAGGUAGUUGGUGGGGUAAAGUCCUACCAAGCCGACGAUCUGUAGCUGGUCUGAGAGGACGAGCAGCCACACUGGGACUGAGACACGGACCAGACGACUACGGGAGGCAGCAGUGGGGAAUUGUGGACAAUGGGCGCAAGCCUGAUCCAGCAAUGCCGAGUGCAGGAAGAAGGCCUUCGGGUUGUAAAACGCUUUUGUACGGAAAGAAAAGGAUGUGGCUAAUACCUGGGGCUGAUGACGGUACCGGAAGAAUAAGCACCGGCUAACUACGUG
rnacentral:rRNA from 1 species